rnacentral:tRNA from 1 species
GCCUUCGUGGCGUAGUGGUCAGCACGCUCGACGUGUAACCGAGAGGUCCGUGGUUUGCUUCCCGGUGAAGGCG